rnacentral:lncRNA from 1 species
AACAACCCCACCCCCUGCGGCGCCACCCAGCUGGGAGCGGAGAGAGACUGACAGCGGAGGCGGGGGUCAGGGCGGGGACCCGGACCCCAGCCCCAUCGGGGACAGAGUCCAAAAAUAGCUCGCGUCCUUGGUGUUCGCCUUGUCGCAGGAGCCUCGCCAUCGCGCAAUCUGCACUCGCCCCUCUGCAGAUCUAAGGCCAGACCUGGGCCACCCUAACUUCUCGGUAUCUCCUAUUUCUACAAACCGGCCGGGUAGAGGAUGCAGCCGGGCGUGGUGGCUACAAGAAAGUGCCCUGGUGUUAAGAACUCAGCCUCUGAAACCUGCCGCCCAGCUUCGAGUCAGCGACGUACUUUUGUUGUCCCGGCCUUAGUAUCCCCGCUGCAAUAAGAGAUUUUUCUUUGUGUUUGAUGAAUG